UACGUAGGGUGCAAGCGUUGUCCGGAAUUAUUGGGCGUAAAGAGCUCGUAGGCGGUUUUGUCGCGUCUGCUGUGAAAAACUCGGGGGCUUAACCCCCGGGCCCUGCAGUGGGUACGGGGCAGACUAGAGUGCGGUAGGGGGAGACUGGAAUUCCUGGUGUAGCGGUGAAAUGCGCAGAUAUCAGGAGGAACACCGGUGGCGAAGGCGGGGUCUCUGGACAUUUCCUGACGCUGAGGCACGAAAAGCCCAGGGGGGAGCAAAACGGGG
rnacentral:rRNA from 1 species